AACCUCUGGUGUCUCCUCAGUUGCGGAUAAAUCUUUCGCCUUUUACUAAAGAUUUCCGUGGGGAGGCACAACACAAUGAGUCUUUACUCAUUUUUUUCAACCUCGCCCUCGGGCGGGGC
rnacentral:snRNA from 1 species